AGCUCCAAUAGCGUAUAUUAAAGUUGUUGCAGUUAAAAAGCUCGUAGUUGGAUUUCUGGCAGAGUGACUCCGGCCGCAGCAUUGCGAGUUGGGAGCGCCCUACCAUCCUUCGGUUAACCUUUACGGAAUUCACUUUCUGUGCUGGGGCUCCGAUAUUUUACCUUGAGAAAAUUAGAGUGUUUCAGGCAGGCUAUAGCCGGAAUACAUUAGCAUGGAAUAAUGGAAAAGGACUACUACCUCUUCUGUUGGUCUGGGAGGCAGCAGUAAUGAUUAAUAGGGAUAGUUGGGGGCAUUAGUACUUAAUAGCAAGAGGUGAAAUUCUCUGAUUUGUUAAAGACUAACUUAUGCGAAAGCAUUUGCCAAGGAUGUUUUCA
rnacentral:rRNA from 1 species